rnacentral:rRNA from 1 species
CUUGAUUAAUCCUGCCAAUAGUCAUACGCUUGUCUUAAAGAUUAAGCCAUGCAUGUGUAAGUAUGAACCAAUUCAGACAAAUGGCUCAUUAAACCAAUUAUAGUUUGUUUGAUGGUAUCUACUACUCAAAUUACCAUAGUAAUUCUAGAGCUAAUACAUGGAACAAACCCUGACUUAUGAAAGGGAUACACUUACUAGAUAAAAGGUCGACAUGGUUUUGCCAGUUGCUUGGAUGAUUCAUGAUAACUAAAUGGAUCUCAUGACCUUUGUCAUGGUGAUGCAUCACUCAAAUUUUUGCCCUAUCAACUUUUAAUGGUAGGAUAAUGGCCUACUAUGGUGGUGAUGGGUGAUAGAGAUUUAAGGUUUGAUUCUAAAGAGGGAGCCUGACAAAUGGCUACCACAUUUAAGAAAGGCAGUAAGUAGGCAAAUUACCCAAUCUUGACAUGGGGAGAUAGUGACAAUAUAUAACAAUAUUGGGCUCUAUGAGUCUAGUAAUUGGAAUGAGUACAAUCUAAAUCCCUUAAGGAGAAUCCAUUGAAAGUCAAGUCUGGUGCCAGUAGCCGUGGUAAUUCUAGUUCCAAUAACGUAUAUUUAAGUUAUUACAGUUAAAAAGCUCAUAGUUGAAACUAGGAUUAGGUCAUCCAGUCUGCUUCAUAGUGAGCAUUAGUUUACUUAUCCCUACUAUCGGUAAUGCACUUCUGGCCUUAACUGGCUAGGUCAUUCCUUCGGUGUUGUUACUUCUAAAAAAUUAGAAUGCUCAAAGUAGGCCUAUGCUUGUAUACAUUAGCAUGGGAUAACAUCAUAAGAUUUUAGUCUUAUUGCGUUGGCCUUCAAGAUCAGAGUAAUGAUUAAUAGGGAUAGUUGAGGGCAUUCAUAUUUCAUAGUCAAAGGUGAAAUUCUUCGAUUUAUGAAAGACAAACAAUUGUGAAAGCAUUUGCCAAGGAUGCUUUUAUUAAUCAAGAAUAAAAGUUGGGGACUUUAAGAUGAUCAAAUAUCAUCCUAGUUUCAACCAUAAAAGUUGUCGACCAGAGAUCGACAGAUGUUACUUUUAAGACUCCACCAGUACGUUAUAAGAAAUCAAAGUAUUUGGGUUUUGGGGAAAGUAUGGUCAUAAGGCUGAAACUUAAAGGAAUUGAUGGAAGGGCACCAUCAGGAGUGGAGCCUAUGGUUUAAUUUGACUUAACACUAGGAAACUUACUAGGUCCAAAUAUAGUAAGUAUUUAUAAACUGAGAGUGCUUUCUUAAUUCUAUGGGUGGUAGUGCAUGGCUGUUCUUAGUUGGUGAAGCAAUUUGUCUAGUUAAUUUCAUUAACGAACAAGACCUUGACUUGCUAAUUAGCUACAUAGAGGUGAUCUUUCAUGGAUAGCUUUUUAAAGGGACUCUGGCCAUUUAGGCUAAAGAAGUUUGAGGCAAUAACAAGUUUAUGAUGCCUUUAGAUGUUUUGGGCUGCACACACACUACAUUGAUAUAUUCAACACAUCUAUUGCCUUGGCCAAUAGGCCUGGGUAAUUUUUGAAAUUUCAUCAUGAUAGGAUUAGAUCAUUGCAAUUUUUGGUCUUCAAUGAAGAAUUUCUAAUAAGCAUAAGUCAUCAGCUAAUGUUGACUAUGUCCUUGCCUUUUGUACACAUUGCCUGUCACUCUUAUCAAUUGAGUGGUCUGGUGAAAUUUUGAAUCAUUACGUUAUAGAUGAUUUGGUACCUAUGACAUCAUGAGAAGUCCACUAAACCUUAUCAUUUAGAGGAAGGAGAAGUCAUAACAAGGUUUCCAUAGGUGAACCAACAAAAG